rnacentral:tRNA from 1 species
GGUGCUAUAGCUCAGUUGGUUAGAGCGGUAGAUUCAUAUCCUACAGGUCCCAGGUUCAACUCCCGGUAGCACCACCA